AACCAGAGCUUCUCCGGGGCAUGUAUAAUAACAAACAACAGGAAAGACACUCCUGUUAGCAGUAAGUAACCAUAUCUUUGCCAACACUUGGUAUUGUCAAGCUCCUUAUUAAAAUUUUUUGAAA